rnacentral:rRNA from 1 species
AUUGAACGCUGGCGGCAGGCCUAACACAUGCAAGUCGAACGGUAACAGGAAGCAGCUUGCUGCUUCGCUGACGAGUGGCGGACGGGUGAGUAAUGUCUGGGAAACUGCCUGAUGGAGGGGGAUAACUACUGGAAACGGUAGCUAAUACCGCAUAACGUCGCAAGACCAAAGAGGGGGACCUUAGGGCCUCUUGCCAUCGGAUGUGCCCAGAUGGGAUUAGCUAGUAGGUGGGGUAACGGCUCACCUAGGCGACGAUCCCUAGCUGGUUUGAGAGGGUGACCAGCCACACUGGAACUGAGACACGGUCCAGACUCCGACGGGAGGCAGCAGUGGGGAAUAUUGCACAAUGGGCGCAAGCCUGAUGCAGCCAUGCCGCGUGUAUGAAGAAGGCCUUCGGGUUGUAAAGUACUUUCAGCGGGGAGGAAGGGAGUAAAGUUAAUACCUUUGCUCAUUGACGUUACCCGCAGAAGAAGCACCGGCUAACUCCGUG